CAGGUUAUCACUGAUUUGACACGGCCUCUAGUGGACACUCCAGGAACUGCAGGUGAGCAUCAUCUCAGUUUUUAACUAUCAAACAGGUGUAAGUGGUGUGGCUGUAACAGCAGUUGUUUUGAUUGUUGUUACGGUUGUAGUUACAGUUGUAGUUGAAGUUGUUUUGAUUGUUGUUACAGUUGUAGUUACAGUUGUAUUGAUCAUUGUAACAGUUGUUGUAACAGUUGUUACUCAAUUGUUUUGAUUGUUGUUACAGUUGUAGUAACAGUUGUCUUGAUUGUUGUAACAAGGUCUGCGCUCUCCAAGUGCUUUUCUAGUUACUGAUUGUUGUUACAGCUGUUACUCAGUUUUUUUGAUUGGUGUUACAGUUGAUGUUGCUACAGUUGUAGUUACAGUUGUUACUCAGUUGUUUUGGUUGUUGUUAUAAUUGUUGUUACAGUUGUUACGCAGUUGUUUUAAAUGUGCUGACAGUUGUUGUUACAGUUGUUACUCAGUUGUUUCGAUUGAUGUCACAGUUGUUGCAGUUGUUACUCAGUUGUUUGAAUAGUUGUUGAAGUUGUAGUUAUAGUUGUUUUGAUUGUUGUUAUAGUUGUUGUAACAGUUGUUACUCAGUUGUUUUGAUUCUCGUUAAAGUUGUGGUUACAGUUGUUUUGAUUGUUACAGUUGUUGUUACAGAUGUUUUGAAUGUUCUUACAGUUUAUGAUACAGUUGUAGUUACAGUUGUUUUGUUUGCUAUUAAAGUUGUUACACAGUUGUUUUAAUUCUUGUUAAAUUUGUGGUUACAGUUGUUUUUAUUGUUACUUCGGCCCAUUGGAAGCCCUGAAAGUGGGCGGGAGUAUUUUCCUUGAUAGACAGACUACUGUAACCAAUCACCGUAACCAAGCAUCUGACAUCAUCACAGAUGCUUGGUUACGGUGAUUGGUUACAGUAGUACAUGGACCAAUCAGGGGCUGCCUUUCCCUGUUGUCCGGGUAACAGUGGAAACACGGUCUCUGAUUGGCCUGGUUAUUUUCAGAUCGGGAAUACAUGCUCUCUAUGGGCCGAAGUCCAGACUGUUGUGGGAAGGAACGUCAAGUGAUUCACGCAACAGGAUGGCACAGCCAGGCUAUGGAUCACCCACUUCACAACACCUUGAUGGACCAAAGGAUCAAUGGUGGUGGACGGCUCCUCUCUCUUUGCUGCAGGACAGAAAAAUUCAGAAGAUCUUUUGUACCAACAGCCAUUAGACUUUAUAACUCUGGUG